AGUGAGGAAUAUUGCACAAUGGAGGAAACUCUGAUGCAGCAACGCCGCGUGGAGGAUGACGCAUUUCGGUGUGUAAACUCCUUUUAUAAGGGAAGAAAAUGACGGUACCUUAUGAAUAAGCACCGGCUAACUCCGUGCCAGCAGCCGCGGUAAUACGGAGGGUGCAAGCGUUAUUCGGAAUCACUGGGCGUAAAGGACGCGUAGGCGGGAAGCCAAGUCUGAUGUGAAAUCCUAUGGCUCAACCAUAGAACUGCAUUGGAAACUGGUUACCUAGAGUAUGGGAGGGGGAGAUGGAAUUAGUGGUGUAGGGGUAAAAUCCGUAGAUAUCACUAGGAAUACCGAAAGCGAAGGCGAUCUCCUGGAACAAUACUGACGCUAAGGCGUGAAAGCGUGGGGAGCAAACGGGAUUAGAUACCCCGGUAGUCCACGCCCUAAACGAUGAACACUAGUCGUCGGAAUGCUAGUCAUUUCGGUGAUGCACUUAACAGAUUAAGUGUUCCGCCUGGGGAGUACGGUCGCAAGAUUAAAACUCAAAGGAAUAGACGGGGACCCGCACAAGUGGUGGAGCAUGUGGUUUAAUUCGAAGAUACGCGAAGAACCUUACCUAGCCUUGACAUUGAAGAAACACACUAGAGAUAGAGUGGUGCCCUUCGGGGAAUCUGAAAACAGGUGCUGCACGGCUGUCGUCAGCUCGUGUCGUGAGAUGUUGGGUUAAGUCCCGCAACGAGCGCAACCCUCGUCCUUAGUUGCCAGCAGGUUAUGCUGGGCACUCUAAGGAGACUGCCUUCGUAAGGAGGAGGAAGGUGAGGACGACGUCAAGUCAUCAUGGCCCUUAUGGCUAGGGCUACACACGUGCUACAAUGGGACGUACAGAGAGUUGCGAUACCGCGAGGUGGAGCCAAUCUCAUAAAGCGUCUCUCAGUUCGGAUAGCAGUCUGCAACUCGACUGCUUGAAGCUGGAAUCACUAGUAAUCGUAGAUCAGCAAUGCUACGGUGAAUACGU
rnacentral:rRNA from 1 species